UCAAGCGAUCGAUAUGACAUCAAUGGUGCUAUUGACUUCAUCAGGGAGCUGCCCAUGGUGUUGGAGGCAAAAAGAAAAAGUUGCGGUGGCUGCACACUACCUUCAAGUUAUCUUGCAACUAAACUGAACAAACCACAUAAUUGAGCUUUGAUCCUUGUGAACAGAUAGCUUUUGUUAAGUUAUAUACCUUGAGGUCGCAUCACUGCGGCUGAAACUGCAUAGAAAGCAUUCUUGUAAUCUUCUUACUUUGUGUCAGGUUACGCUAGAUGGAUCAAUCUGUGUUGAGCAAUUCUACAAAUGCCCAGCUUUUGGAAGGGUAUUCUUAAGGUCGUCUGGAAGCGCGGUGGAUGCGGGAAUAGUAAAUAAGAUAAUGGGGGCAGGAUCAGUACUAGAACUCUUUCAUCCAACCUGCUGCCUAAUGUAAUUCUGGCCGAUCAAGAGCUUGAAGCUCACAAGUUUUCUUUUCUGUUUGCUCAUCGCCAUUGUGGUUGUGCAUUAGAGUGGAGUUAUUCCUGCAGUGCACCCUUGGACACGUUUGAGAACUCAACUCACGCUCGACUCAUCUAUCCUUUGCAAGUUUGCAUUAAUAUUCCUAACAAGCAGCAUGUACGAUAACAGGAGAUUACAGUUUUGCUGCUCAGGAAAAAACUUUGGAGAUAACGUUAUGGGAAGAAGUAGCUGAAGUGAAAUAAUUUUGUUCUGUCUGAAAGUUUACCCAAACUAUUCCAAAACACUUGUUGGACCGGAUUCUUUACUGUCUUAUUAUCUUUCUUGGUGCAGCACGAGAUUACUCGAGAAGCAGACAAGUUACAAGUGUUGGCACUCCUGCCUUGAGUUGUGUAGAAUUUAUAUUUUUCUCAAUUGAACCCAGUAUAGUUGGUAGAAAUGGUUUUUCAAAUAUGUUUUUUU